GGGUCCUAAAGACCUAAAUAGUAAAUACCAGUAAAAUAUUAAGUUGAGGUUUAAGUGUGGUGAUGCUCUUGUGCACCCGUAGCUUCUGAAAAUGAGAAAGUAAUCCUGUUCCCAUUUUUCCUUUAUCACAAACCCAAAACCCUAAUUCCUCUGAAACAAAACCGAAACUUUUCCCCCUACUGAAUGCUUUAAUCGGCCGGGUCGGGUCGGACUAUUGUGCAUUUUCGAACUAGCCCGUGUGAAUGUUCCGAUCGAACAUGGAGAAGGAGAAGUGGUUUCAAUUUAGGGGAACAAGUAAAUACUCUGAUUUUGAGGGUACUCCUUCUACAAUGACAUGAACGGGCUGCUUAAAAGAUGAUUGAGAUAAUAGUGACUCUUUCAACGGAGUGGGAUGCCCAGGAGCAUUUUACAAGAAGGAAGAUAUGAUGGUUCAAUGAUUUUGACUGAGUCUUACAACUCCAAGUCUCCAAGCUCAGAAAUCAGACUGAGGCAUUUAGAGAAAAUUUUUUCUUUUGAAGUUGUGAAAAUGGCAGCCUCCAAUUCAUCCAUGACACAUCAUUGUACUACCUCUCGGCCUAUCAACUAAUUAUUUAAUUUUGCAUCUCAAUCCCUCAGUUUCUCAAUUUUAUCCUUGCUCAUCUUUAUGAAGCUUGCUUCUGUAAAUUACACAUGCAAAUGUAAGUCAAAUGGUACCAUAGCUACACAUCACACUUGCCAACCAACCCUCUUACUUUUGUCUUUGAGAUUGUCAAAUUAUUCAACCAUUAUUUUUUGCAGCUAUAUGUGUUCACAAAGUGUCAAUUGUUCACUAAUUUCCUCUGUUUAUUUUAAGUAUUGCAUGAGAUUAGGUUAUCUAAAUUUUCUCCAACCUGUUCCUAUUUGCCAAGCAUAAUGAUACAUGUGUUAUUUUGAAAGCCAUAGGAAUUAAAUGUGAGUACCACUAUCCUAUUUUACCAACCAAGGUUUAAUAGAUUUACUAUGGUUAAAGGUACAUUGACAAUUGUAACUUUUAAUUAAUGGCUGUUGCAGCCAAGGCAUUGCUUUAUGGGAGGGUGGCUGGUUCUGAGCACCAUUUCUGCUACUGUGUCAUGAAGCAUGCUGUAUUAUAUAGCCAAUAUAAUUAGUCCUGGUUUCUUCUUUUGUCUGUUUGCUUGCACUUUGGGCAUUAUUUUAUUGUCUGGUUUUAAAGCAUCACUCAUAUUGGAACCCUUAUAAGGAGGCAAGGCAUGAAUUUCCGGCAAGGGACAAAAAGCAUGAGAUACGGUUAGAAAUGGGAAAGUGACCUCUGAAAUUUUAGUGUCAUAUAUUAAACAUCCCAAUGCCCCCAAAAAGGGGAAGUUGAAGAAUUUUGAAACAGAACAAAAUUCAGAGAGAGAUAGAGAGAGACUUGUCAGUGAUAUGGGAGAGAAUGUGGUGAGAAUUUUUCAUCAUCAUCAUCAUCUCCAUUGUUGCUUUCAAUAUCAGACAAAAGCUUCCAAAGAGCAAAAGAAACUACCUUUGACAUUAAAGCCAAUUCAGGAAUCUCAGAAGUGCCAUCCUCAAUCUUAAGCCUCCCUUUCCAUUUAUUCUUCUUUCAGGACUAUGAUUAGUCAUUUUCUAAGCACUCUUCCAUAUUCAUUUCAAUGUUUAAAACUUUCAAAAAUAAAAUAAGAUUAAAGGAAAAAAAAAAAAAGAAAAAGAAUUUAAAAUUAACCUGACACUGUUUAGCCAUUAGUAUUUUACCUUCUUUUGUGGAAUAUAGUGGGGUUCUUUUUAACCUUUGUUUUCUCUUUUUACUAUUAUAGUUACUCACUUAACAGUUACACAUUUGUCUCUUUCUUCUCCCAUGACAGUAAUUGGAGAAGAAACCCAAGUUUUGAAAAGAAAUUUAUCUCAUGCAAGAAUGUAAUCAUUGAAUCAACCCUAUUGUCGAUGUUCCUUUCAAUCAAACGAACUAAUCCACCCAGAAGCACAUUGAACUUGAGAAUCUUCUUCUCCACAGGUCUCUGCCAGAAGGAAAGACCUUAGCAGAACAAUAGCUAUAGAAGACUAGCACCAAAAGUUUCAAGUUUUAACUACCAUAACUGUAACUUGAAAAAAAAAA